rnacentral:rRNA from 1 species
GGCUCAGGAUGAACGCUGGCGGCGUGCCUAAUACAUGCAAGUCGAGCGAAUGGAUUAAGAGCUUGCUCUUAUGAAGUUAGCGGCGGACGGGUGAGUAACACGUGGGUAACCUGCCSAUAAGACUGGGAUAACUCCGGGAAACCGGGGCUAAUACCGGAUAACAUUUUGAACYGCAUGGUUCGAAAUUGAAAGGCGGCUUCGGCUGUCACUUAUGGAUGGACCCGCGUCGCAUUAGCUAGUUGGUGAGGUAACGGCUCACCAAGGCAACGAUGCGUAGCCGACCUGAGAGGGUGAUCGGCCACACUGGGACUGAGACACGGCCCAGACUCCUACGGGAGGCAGCAGUAGGGAAUCUUCCGCAAUGGACGAAAGUCUGACGGAGCAACGCCGCGUGAGUGAUGAAGGCUUUCGGGUCGUAAAACUCUGUUGUUAGGGAAGAACAAGUGCUAGUUGAAUAAGCUGGCACCUUGACGGUACCUAACCAGAAAGCCACGGCUAACUACGUGCCAGCAGCCGCGGUAAUACGUAGGUGGCAAGCGUUAUCCGGAAUUAUUGGGCGUAAAGCGCGCGCAGGUGGUUUCUUAAGUCUGAUGUGAAAGCCCACGGCUCAACCGUGGAGGGUCAUUGGAAACUGGGAGACUUGAGUGCAGAAGAGGAAAGUGGAAUUCCAUGUGUAGCGGUGAAAUGCGUAGAGAUAUGGAGGAACACCAGUGGCGAAGGCGACUUUCUGGUCUGUAACUGACACUGAGGCGCGAAAGCGURGRGRGCAAACAGGAUUAGAUACCCUGGUAGUCCACGCCGUAUCCUAUGCUAAGUGUUAGAGGGUUUCC